rnacentral:rRNA from 1 species
UUGAGUUGGGGAUAACCCCGCGAAAGCGGGGCUAAUACCGAAUAAUAUUUCAGUUCCUACGGGGAUUGAAAUCAAAGAUGGCUUCUGCAUGCAAGCUAUUGCUCAUAGAUGGGCCCGCGUACCAUUAGCUAGUUGGUAGAGUAAAAGCCUACCAAGGCAACGAUGGUUAGCUGGUCUGAGAGGAUGGCCAGCCACACUGGAACUGAGACACGGUCCAGACUCCUACGGGAGGCAGCAGUGGGGAAUCUUGCGCAAUGGGGGAAACCCUGACGCAGCAACGCCGCGUGGGUGAUGAAGGCCUUCGGGUCGUAAAGCCCUGUCAGGUGGGAAGAAACAUGUCGAUGCGAAUAGCGUCGACAUUUGACGGUACUACCGGAGGAAGCACCGGCUAACUCCGUGCCAGCAGCCGCGGUAAUACGGAGGGUGCUAGCGUUGUUCGGAAUUAUUGGGCGUAAAGCGCGUGCAGGCGGUCGGGUAAGUCAGAUGUGAAAGCCUUCCGCUUAACGGAAGAAGUGCAUUUGAAACUGCCUGGCUAGAGUACGGGAGAGGAGAGUGGAAUUCCCGGUGUAGAGGUGAAAUUCGUAGAUAUCGGGAGGAACACCAGUGGCGAAGGCGGCUCUCUGGUCCGAUACUGACGCUGAGACGCGAAAGCGUGGGGGAGCAAACAGGAUUAGAUACCCUGGUAGUCCACGCCGUAAACGAUGGGGCACUAAGUGUAGGAGGUAUUGACCCCUUCUGUGCCGAAGCUAACGCAUUAAGUGCCCCGCCUGGGGAGUACGGCCGCAAGGUUAAAACUCAAAGGAAUUGACGGGGGCCCGCACAAGCGGUGGAGCAUGUGGUUCAAUUCGACGCAACGCGAAGAACCUUACCUGGGCUUGACAUCCGCUGACCGUCCUGGAAACAGGAUCUUCCCCGCAAGGGGACAGCGAGACAGGUGCUGCAUGGCUGUCGUCAGCUCGUGUCGUGAGAUGUUGGGUUAAGUCCCGCAACGAGCGCAACCCUCAUCCUUAGUUUCCAUCAUUGAGUUGGGCACUCUAAGGAAACUGCCCCGGUUAACGGGGAGGAAGGUGGGGAUGACGUCAAGUCCUCAUGGCCUUUAUGUCCAGGGCUACACACGUGCUACAAUGGGCGGUACAAAGGGUUGCAAUACCGUGAGGUGGAGCUAAUCUCAAAAAGCCGCUCUCAGUUCAGAUUGAAGUCUGCAACUCGACUCCA